GCGGGGGUUGUAGAGCCUGGCCAAAUAAAUAAGAUUUGGAAACGCGGGACUUAAGAUCCCGUCCUUUAGAGGUUCGUGGGUUCGAAUCCCACCCCCCGCA
rnacentral:tRNA from 1 species